GGAGAGAUGCCGGAGUGGUCGAUCGGGGCGGUCUCGAAAACCGUUGUACCGUCAGGUACCCAGGGUUCGAAUCCCUGUCUCUCCG
rnacentral:tRNA from 1 species